rnacentral:lncRNA from 1 species
UUCGGCCACACUCGCAUCGGUCCCUGUGAGAAAACAACCCUAGGGCCCUCGGGGGGCCAAAAAAUCACGGAAAAACGGAGCUUACCGGCGGCGGCGCUCUCGGGUGCGGCGGCUCUCCGGCGAGGUUCGUGUUUUGGUGAUUCGGCUCCGGUCAACCUGUAGAGAAAAGAAUGGUGAUCACGGUGAUAUAAAAAUUGCAUCAAACGGAGGCCGGGAAAGGCCUCAUCGGAGGCAAAAACCGAGAGGGGGCGCGGCGGCGCCACUGGCCUUCGGCCGCGUAUUCCGGCCGUUUGGCCGGGAUUUUGGCUCCGAUUUGGCCACAAGAGGAAUCAGCGUGGAAAAACGAGUCGGGGGUAUGAAAUUUACCUCGAUCGGCGGUCGAAAAUUUCCCCGGCGCGGCGGCGGGUGGCGGCGGCCGGCUUCUGGUUUGUCUUCUCCGGCGAGCGGCAGGCGGCAAGGGUUUGUGGUCUGGUGUGGGGGUUCUAUUUAUAACCCCUUGCCUUUUGAUCUCAGCCGUUCAUUUUGUUUUAAUCUGGGCCGUUCGUUUUUGAUUGAAUCUGGGCCGUCCGUGCGAUUGCAUCUGGGCCGUCCGAUCGCGCGAUUGAUCUGGGCCGUCCGAUCGCACCCACGCGGAUCGUCAACGUGGCCCCUUUUCGGAGCGACGUGGUCUUGCCACGUGGCAGGCCCCGGUUGGCCGGGACUGCUGACGUGGCUGCCGAC